rnacentral:rRNA from 1 species
AGUGAACGCUGGCGGUAGGCCUAACACAUGCAAGUCGAACGGUAGCACAGUAAGAGCUUGCUCUUACGGGUGGCGAGUGGCGGACGGGUGAGGAAUACAUCGGAAUCUACUUUUUCGUGGGGGAUAACGUAGGGAAACUUAUGCUAAUACCGCAUACGACCUACGGGUGAAAGCAGGGGAUCUUCGGACCUUGCGCGAUUGAAUGAGCCGAUGUCGGAUUAGCUAGUUGGCGGGGUAAAGGCCCACCAAGGCGACGAUCCGUAGCUGGUCUGAGAGGAUGAUCAGCCACACUGGAACUGAGACACGGUCCAGACUCCUACGGGAGGCAGCAGUGGGGAAUAUUGGACAAUGGGCGCAAGCCUGAUCCAGCCAUACCGCGUGGGUGAAGAAGGCCUUCGGGUUGUAAAGCCCUUUUGUUGGGAAAGAAAAGCAGCAGGUUAAUACCCCGCUGUUCUGACGGUACCCAAAGAAUAAGCACCGGCUAACUUCGUG